rnacentral:rRNA from 1 species
UGAGGAAUAUUGGUCAAUGUGCGGGAGCCUGAACCAGCCAAGCCGCGUGAGGGAGGAAUGCCCUAUGGGUCGUAAACCUCUUUUGUCAGGGAACAAAAGCGAGUAUGUAUACUAGUCUGAGUGUACCUGAAGAAAAAGCAUCGGCUAACUCCGUGCCAGCAGCCGCGGUAAUACGGAGGAUGCGAGCGUUAUCCGGAUUUAUUGGGUUUAAAGGGUGCGUAGGCGGUCUGUUAAGUCAGCGGUAAAAGCCCGGGGCUCAACCCCGGCGAGCCGUUGAAACUGCAGUGCUAGAGAAGGCGAGAGGUACGCGGAAUGCGCAGUGUAGCGGUGAAAUGCUUAGAUAUUGCGCAGAACUCCGAUUGCGAAGGCAGCGUACUGGCGCCUGACUGACGCUGAGGCACGAAAGCGUGGGGAUCGAACAGGAUUAGAUACC